rnacentral:rRNA from 1 species
CAGUCGCCGCGGUAAUACAGAGGGUGCGAGCGUUAAUCGGAUUUACUGGGCGUAAAGCGUGCGUAGGCGGCUUCUUAAGUCGGAUGUGAAAUCCCUGAGCUUAACUUAGGAAUUGCAUUCGAUACUGGGAAGCUAGAGUAUGGGAGAGGAUGGUAGAAUUCCAGGUGUAGCGGUGAAAUGCGUAGAGAUCUGGUGGAAUACCGAUGGCGAAGGCAGCCAUCUGGCCUAAUACUGACGCUGAGGUACGAAAGCAUGGGGAGCAAACAGGAUUAGAUACCCCGGUAGUCCCUGUCUCUUAUAC